ACGGUGCUACGGCGACUACGGCGAUGAGGGAAAAGGGAAACGGAGUGGUGCUCACCGAGCAGGCGCAAGGAGGCUCGUCGAGUGGCUUAGGAGCAGCAGAGGUGGCCGGCGUCGUCAUGGCCCGUCGACGACCCGAGGAGGAAGAAGCUUUGACCCGACGCUGCAGCAUGAGGAGCUCCAACGGGUGGCACCAGUGAAUGCAGAGGAAAACGGCGAAGCGGAGGACGCGGUCCUAGGCGGUGGGGGGGCAUGGUGGCCGCGGCGGGAUGAGAUGGCCGGCGAUGCGGGCGCACGACGAGGUGGAUCUGGACGUGAGGGAGAGUGACGAGGGAGAGAGGGGGCGUGGGAAAAUAUCUGCGAAGGGGGGGGGAGUGGAGCUGACGAGGCCGAGAGGAGGAGGGCGCCUGCCUUAUCCCCCCGCCAGCGUUGAUGAGGUGGUUCGGCGAGGCGUCACUCCUGUUGCGACCGCGCCAGGGGAACAGGGGGACUAAGCGACCGAUGGGGGGCUAGGUGGGCCAGCUGGCCAAGGUGGGCCGAGGCCCAGGGGGAGGAGAGGCCUUGUCUAUUUUUAUUUUUAUUUUGCUUUUCUAUUUUCUAAUUAGUUCCCUUUUAUUUUUAGCUUUACAAAAUUCAUUACUAGCCCCUAAACCAACACUAGUAACCUAUGCCACUGCCACAGAUAGUUGGAGGUUGAAAAUAAAAUAGUUUAGUAUUUUUACAUUUUAAAAAGCAAUUAAAUAAUUAACUAGGCCACUGUGUUGACUAGUUUAAGGCAUUUAAACACUUUGCAAAAAUGUUGGUUCGCCACCACAAUUAGUUAUAGAAUACUUGCCAAAAGAUGAACAUUUUAUUUAGCAGGUUUGAGAAAUUUGAAUUUGGACUUUAAUUUAAAUUAUGCUUCGGAUCAAAUGAGGAUUAGCAACAGUAAGAGUGAUGAUCUGGCAUCAUUAGCAGGAGAUUACUGUAGCUUAAUUAUCCGGGUGUCACAAUUCUCCUCCACUACAAGAAAUCUCGUCCCGAGAUUUAAGGGGUGAAGUAAGGGGGAAAGACUCUAGAAGGACGAAGCUCAACACAAGAUAGGUACCUAAGGGCUAUCUCACUAAACGUGGCAUAGAGACAUCUCUCGAGUUGAAAUUUAAGAAAGUCAUCGAGGGCAAGAUAAGAAGGUGCAAUAAGAAGGUUCAAUCGGGUAGGCAAUCGUUCGUUGCCUGAAAUAGAGGGUGAAAGGGGUUCAGAGCAAUGGGAAUAAGUAUUGCGCCUGAUACCAGAAUAGAUAACUAGGAUGUGGCUCGUGAUUUAUAUACGAAGCCAAGUGCGAGGAACAAUUUUGGAAGAUAGGGAUGUAGAGGAGUUAGGUUUUGAUCCUGGGACCUGUGGGUUAUGGGCCCACCACGUGGGUUAACAGCAGGAAGGCACUAAUCAUUUUGCACGGUCAUGGUAGCAAGGCAAGUCAGAGGAUAGCCUAUCAAUUAUGUUGGCAACAACGUUGGUACCAAGGGCGAGGGACGAAGAGAGCCAUUUUCUUGCUCGCAAGGCGAGGCGGACCAAUAGGCAAAGUUCUCAUCCAUCGGUGGUUACCAGAAUGUCAUCAACAAUACUAACAAGGUCUUACUGACAGAGUUUGUACACCAAGGUGUUUACAUAAGCAGCGAGUUAUCACUGCUCAGAUAUGCUAGUUUAUAAGAAAGGUUAAACAAAACAAUGGAAGGGGAAAGUGUAGACUCGAAUCAGUUAUCGGUGUUCUCGAGUGUUUAAAUACUCGGAACCCGUGAAAAAUUGGAAUCGGCGAGAAAUAAUAGUUGAUCAAGAACUCAUAAGGAGUCAUGUAGUACCAUGAUAUUCUCGGGAUACCAAAGGGUAACACUCAAAGGUAUAUCAAUGUAGAGUUUGAACAGGUGAAACGAUCUGAAGAAGACAAGUACUUUAACUUGUCCGAUAAAUGGAUCAAACAAGAACAAUAUGGUCGGAACCACGAUUGCAAAGGACCAAACAUAGAUACAAGAUGGACUUAUCACAAGGGGAUUAUUAUUAUAACAAGAAGCUUCCAUGAUAAAUUCCACAUCGGGUCUAUGGGCAUGAACACAAAGGUUCAAGGUCGACUCCCACUUCUCUAAUGCACAACUUUCCAUUCACCACUCGCGUUCGAAGAAGUUGUAGAAUUUGAAAAUUUAUCCGAAGAAACACCAGUAGAUAUAACUCGCAUAAUCUUCGGGUUCACACGGAUUUAGGUAAGACAAAUAUUCAACCCAUCGGGGCAUUUGAAGAACAUAUACCACAAACUUCACAGGUAAAUAACUCAAUACCGAGAGUAGAGCAUGGUUCAGGAAGCAGAAGAUACAAUUUACCAAAGGCAUUAUGUAUCCAAGGAAAAGCUCACAAGGUUACUAAAUAUGAAGGACAUUGUCGGAUAAAACCCAACAAAGGACCUGGAGGUCCACAAUGAAUCUGAUGUGAGUAUCGGUACUCCCCCAGAAGAAGAAAGAAUGCAAGCAGGACAGGUUAUAGAAACAACUGACAAAUUCAAAGCUCAAAUGCAAAGGACUUAUGGUUUCCAAAAUGUGGAAUCAAAAGUAGAGGCUAUGAUCAAAGAUAAGUAAGUUCGAUAGAUAUAGAUCGACAAUCAAACAAAGUUUGAUUUGUCGAACACCAGCUCAUGUCCGGAGUGACAUCUGAACCAAGGGGAGAAUUUUAAAUAGGGCUGAUGAUCAUGAGCAUUCACAAAUGAAUCGAAUCAAAUGCUCGAAAUUACGAUGACAAAGGAUGCUAAAGAGCAUUACUGGACAUAUGGAAGUAAUCAUAAUGUAAGAAGAUAAGGAGGAAUAAGAGUAAUAGGCUACUAAGGAGUUUUGGAAGAUCAAAUAGCAUUCCAAAGAAUUUUGUGAAACACAUGAACAACUGUGGACGAACGGAUACUCGGCAAGUGCGAGUAAUUAUCCAUAGGGGUAUUCAUGAGGAAAGGAACUGCAGGGCAGUAAGUAUAAAGGGUUCUCGAAACAUCGGAGAGUAUUUCAGGACAUCUUGUAAUAACAAGAGCAACUGGGGAUGAAGGUAUGAACGACAACAUAGGUAGUUACCCAUAAGGAUUUAUCGGUGGUAGGGAUUGCAAGGGCGAAGGGCACAAGGGUCUCGAGAAGCAUCAGAGAGUAUCUUCAGAAUCUUCUGGUGAAGUGGGCCAUCAUCUAGAAUGAAGGGGCUCUCCGGGAGAAGUAUUUAUGAGAACCUAGAGUUAUAGCUUGCAAAACCAUUUAACCCGAAUAGAAGAGAGAUCAGAUUCCCAGAGUAUAGACGAGGAAUAAAAGAUCCUAAUACCACCCAAUUGGCGACGUGGGCCCGUAAGCCACACAGCCAUGUUAGUAAAACAGUUUUUGAAGACUAGACUCAACUUCGGCCAAGGAGUUGGAAAGGGGGAUCCUACAGGCAGUCGGCUCUGAUACCAACUUGUGACGCCCCCGAUUCAAUCGUACACUAAUCAUACACGCAAAUGUGUAUGAUCAAGAUCGGGGACUCACGGGAAGAUAUCACAACACAACUCUAGACACAAAUCAAAAAUAUUACAAGAUUCAUAUUACAAGCCAGGGGCCUCGAAGGCUCGAAUACAUAGCUCGAUACACAAGAGUCAGCGGAAGCAACAAUAUCUGAGUACAGACAUAAGUUAAACAAGGAUGCCUUAAGAAGGCUAGCACAAAAGCAACAACGAUCGAAGAGGCAAGGCCUCCUGCCUGGGACCUCCUAAACUAACUCCUGGUCAUCGGCGAUCUUCACGUAGUAGCAUCCAUCGGCGGUGGCAUCUAGCUCCAAGGAUCCACCAUCUGAUUGCAUCAACCGGAAAGAAGAAAGAAGGGAGAAAAAGGGUAGCAAAGCAACCGUGAGUACUCAUCCAAAGUACUCGCAAGCAUCAGAUCUAUACUAAGUAUGCAUUGGUAUCAAAUGGAAAGGUUGUAUCUGUGGACUGAACUUUAGAAUGCUAGAAUAGAAGGGGGAAGGCCUGGCCUAUCGAAGACUAGCAUCUUCACGCAGCUCCGAACAUCUUGUAGCAUGUAGAAGAGUAAAGAAUAGCAGUUUAAUAUUUAACAAACAUGUUGUAACAUUAAUGCCCAGAGAUCCUUCCUCUACUCCCUGCGAGAAAGCAAUCCCGGAGCCACAUAUCUCAAGUAUCCAUUUGUAGUUGUAUAAGAUCAGGAUAUAAGUCUGAACGUCCGUUACCGUGGACACGGCUAUUAAUAGAUAAUCUUCCCUGCAAGGGUGCACCACGUUUUCCAACACGCUCGAUCACUCUGGCCGGACACACCUUUUUGGGGUCAAUGUCCGGCCUCGGAAGAUCAACACAUCGCAGCCCUACCUAGGCUCAGCAGAGAGGUCCCCGCCGGUCUACAUCCUAAGCACUCCGGGGUCUGGGUCCAUCGCCCGUUGCACUCCGGAUCGUUGCGUACAGGGCGGGUCCAGGCUCCACCUCUACAUGGAUGGUGCCGGCCCAGCCGUGCCGCACUGCUGAACUGGACGUCUGACAAAUCUUCGGCUGAUAAUGCAACACCGAGGCCCAUAACUAUUCUCACGUGGUGGUUGGUGCGUAAAGGCCAGAGGCCAACUCAGAACAAAUACCCAAGCCAUAGUGUAUUAUUAGCUUGCGGAGACGAGCAGAGACUCACGAUCAAAAGUGACCCGUCGCCCCAUCUCGUGGACUUACGACAAGGGCCUAGAAUGCCCGGUCGUGCCACGUCAUUAUCUUGCGGGUGCUCUCCGGGCCCGCCUAACUUCCACCAAGGUCUCAAGUAAAGUCAAGGUAACUGUGUGUCCAGACAUCAAGGGGAAAACCCGAGGAAUCACCCCCGGUGGAUUCCACUCGAUGUAAUCAUCAAGGUGAACGUAAGAUGGACCACCCUCGAGGUUCACACUUGAGGUGUUGAACGACAGAGCCGUAUCGGGAAUGGUGAAAGAGGAAAUCACCUUCGAUGACCAUGACCGAAAUAGCUACACUACAGAAUUAUCAUCAGGAGUGCGUUAUGAGGGAUCACCCUCGGCACUCGAUAGUAGCUCUGCAGAGUCGAGCAACUAAAGGGGCGUGAUGUGAUGUGAGGUGUCGGGCUCUGGUCGUCGAUCACGUCGAUCGAGGCGUCGAUGAUGAAUCAGGGGAAACAAGGACAAAGUGGGGUCACUGAUGGAUCACUAACCAACCUAUACUAAGCAGUUUAGGAUAAGCAGGUAGGUAACAAUAGCAGGUACAAAAGCAGGCUAUGCAUCAGAAUAGGAGCAAACAAUAACAGUAGCAAAAUCUAAUGCAAGCAUAAGAGUAUAGAAUGGGCGAUAUCGGGAUGAUCAAAGGGGGGCUUACCUGGUUGCUCAGACAAGGAGGGUCAUCCGUGACGUAGUCGAUCACAGUGGCAUCAGCAGCGGUCUCGGGGUCUAUCGGAGAGAAGAGGGGGAAAACAGUAAAUACACACAAACAUAUGCAUAACAAGACAAUAAGAUGGGUUAGAGGUGUUCUAACGCAGUGCUAGGCGAUACUGGCGAAGGGGGAAACAUCCGGGGAAGUUUUCCCGGUCCCGGACGUGUGUGAGACAAAUGAACCGGAGGGGAAAGUUUGCAUGUUCGCUAUGCUAGGGAUGUGUCGCCGACGAACGGACCGCGUACUCGGAUUCGUCUCGUCGUUCUAAGCAACUUUCAUGUACAAAGUUUUUCUAUCCGAGUUACAUAUUAUUUUAUAUUAAUUUUCAAAGAUUUAUUAUUUUAUGAAAUUUCCUAGAAUUAAUAAUAAUUCGAGUUGACCAAGUCAAUUUGACUGGUUAAAAGGGGAGGGUGUGGCCCACAUGUCAUAGACUUUUUACCUAAACAAAUAAAUAAACCUAACUUAUUUAAAAGGGGCCCUCCAUAUCAUCUACUACUAGACUAACUUAGCACUAAAUAAUACUUCCUCCGUCCGAAAAUACUUGUCAUCAAAAUAGAUAGAAAGAGAUGUAUCUAAAACUAAAAUACGUCUAGGUCUAUCCCUUUUAUCCAUUUUGAUGACAAGUAUUUCCGGACGGAGGGAGUACUAACUAAACCUAGUAGUGCUAAUCUAAGCAACGGCCAGCCAUUACUGGGCAUAGCCCAACCAGCCACACACACACGCAAGGGCCGGCCAUUCAGUAAUAGCAGCAGCCAACGGUAGCAGGUAGCUGUAGCACCAACAGCAGAGCAGUAGGCGCCAUCGGCAGCGACGGCAAGCGGCAAGCAGCAGGAACGGCGGCCGGUGAGCAGCAAGAAGCAGCAGCAGCGGCAAGAGUACCAGCAAAGCAGCAGCCAUAGCAGCAAAGCAAAAGCAGCAAACAGCAGUACAGAGUAGUAGUAACAGGAACUGCAGCAACGCAGCCGCAAGUAGCAGGCAGCAGCUACGGGAGCAGGGCACGACCCAACAGGACGCGCGCGAGGGCGCGGCCUGGGGCGGCCAGAGGCGCGGGAGGGCCGCGGUGGCCGGGGAUGGCCGACGCGGGGCGAGGCCCAACGAGCGGUGGCCGGCGGCGCCGUCGGGCACAGCAGGUCACGCGGCCAGCGGGGCGCCGGCGCAGGGGGGCGAGGGGGCAGCGGCCCUGGGCGGAGGCGACCGGAAACGGGCGCUGGGGGCGGUGGCGCGCGAGCGCGGGUGAGGCUGCGGGGGAAAGGCGAGGCCGGCGGUGGAGGCGUCGGCUGCGGCGUAUGGCAGCAGCAACAGCCCACGGAAGCGACGGCCAACAGCAGUAGGAUGUACAGCAGCAACAAACAGUAGUGCGGUAGCAAGGGACGGACUACGCAUGCGCGGGCGGCGUGCGAGCAUGCGCGGGAGGAGAGCUCCGGCCACGGCGGACUGCGGAGCCGAAGCUCGCGUGUAACGGUGCUACGGUGAUUACGGCGACGAGGGAAAAGGGAAACGGGGUGGUGCUCACCGAGCAGGCGUAAGGAGGCCCGUCGAGUGGCUUAGGAGCAGCAAAGGUGGCCGGCAUCGUCAUGGUCCGUCGGCGACCCGAGGAGGAAGAAGCUUUGACCCGACGCUGCAGCAUGAGGAGCUCCAACGGGUGGCACUAGUGGAUGCAGAGGAAAACGGCGAAGCGGAGGACGCGGUCCUAGGCGGUGGGGGGGCAUGGUGGCCGCGGCGGGACGAGAUGGCCGGCGAUGCGGGCGCACGACGAGGUGGAUCUGGACGUGAGGGGGAGUNNNNNN
rnacentral:lncRNA from 1 species